rnacentral:sRNA from 1 species
CUCUUUUUAUCUUGUUAUU